rnacentral:rRNA from 1 species
AUUGAACGCUGGCGGCAUGCUUUACACAUGCAAGUCGAACGGUAACAGGCCGCAAGGUGCUGACGAGUGGCGAACGGGUGAGUAAUGCAUCGGAACGUGCCCAGUCGUGGGGGAUAACGCAGCGAAAGCUGCGCUAAUACCGCAUACGAUCUAUGGAUGAAAGCGGGGGACCGUAAGGCCUCGCGCGAUUGGAGCGGCCGAUGUCAGAUUAGGUAGUUGGUGGGGUAAAGGCUCACCAAGCCGAGGAUCUGUAGCUGGUCUGAGAGGACGACCAGCGCGACUGGGACUUGGAAACGGCCCAGACUCCUACGGGAGGCAGCAGUGGGGAAGUUUGGACAAUGGGUGCAAGCCUGCUCCAGCAAUGCAGCGUGCAGGAAGAAGGCCUUCGGGUUGUAAACUGCUUUUGUACGGAACGAAACGGUCUGGAUUAAUACCCUGGGCUAAUGACGGUACCGUAAGAAUAAGCACCGGCUAACCACGUGCCAGCCGCCGCGGUAAUAC